UAUUUAUUAUCUCCAUCUACUCUUUCAGGUGCCAUUUGUGGUGGGCACUGCUGUACGAAUGCAACCGAAUUGGAGCUGAGAAAGGAAUCCACCGGCGAAUUUUAACGUUUGUUGCAUCAUCACACUAAUAGUCUGCGCGGCAUACUCGAAUCUACGGCGAAUCUAUUUCAAAAGCAUUUCCUAGUCCUAAAGGAAUAAUAAGAGAAUAAUACCCUGGCUGUCUAAUCACAAGUUUACGAAGGCGUGGUAUCACAAUCGAGUGAAUUGAUCCUUCAAUUCAGAAAACCUUAAGUACAAGCAUUUUGAAACUGGGCACGACAACAUCAUCAACAGGUAGCGUCAACCAUUUGGAUGAUCCGGAAGAUGCCAUACAAAAAUUCCUUGUGAAUCUCUUUCCGGUGGCCUAUCACUUGAUUUUCGAUUGGAAGGAAGAUUAUGGAAUACAUCAAUUGCUAGAAGGAGAUAUUCAACGACCUACAGUCAUUUGGCAGAAUAUCAAAGGAGAUCAAAUCUUUAUAAAUUCUUCGCAACAGCGCGCUGAGGUUCUCAGCUAAACUGGUCAGUUGUAGAUGUAAAAGAGAACGUAUAAAUUAGAGAAGAUGUAACAGUAGUAAAGUAGAUGUAACAGAGAACUUUUAUAUUAGAGAAGGUUCAAUUGCGGACCAGCGUAUAAAUUGUCAAAAGUAAAGAAAAUGUGAAGAGCAUAUUUCACCACAGCCAGCAGAAUGAAGAAAUUUUAACAGAGCCUCGCGAACAGAAAUGAGCAUUGAUUGAAAUUAGGCUCAGACAUUUCUUUUGAUAUUACAACCGGUUGUUAGUCCUUUGGCUUAUAUUUUUGUACAUUUAUAUGCCAUCAUGUACAUUGGUAUGAAUAUCAUUAGGCGAAUCUUUAUGAAAGGGAGUUAACUUUCCGUAGUUUGCAGCACGUUAUUUUUUAAAAAUUGGUAAGAACGCUACUCAAUUCUAGUGAGAUACACUAAACAGAGCUUUUUUUAUUUCUUAUACCUUUGUACAUUAUUUUGCUCAGGCUUAAAAAAAAAUCAGCUUACAUUCUAGGAAGCGCACAGUUUAGGUGUUAGAUGAUGUGCUUCCUAAUUCUACGUAAAACCUUAAGUAUUAGGUAAUGCUUUAUUUAUUUAUUCUCUCAAUAUGUCGUUUAUAAAUCUUUUGAAAUUUUUUAACCCGAACUCCUGCCGGAGUUAUAAAAGCUAUUUUCUCGAUGUCCCUUUCUGCCACUAAAAUCUGGUGCAAAAGUACUGUGCUUUGGCCAAUUUAUCCAAGAUUCCUUCGAUAUUUAGUAGAGGAUACUUAUCGUCUUUAGUUAAAUUAUUUAAUAUCCUGUUAUCAACUACUAGCCUGAAUUUCUGUAUUCCUGAAUUAUCUAUCUUCUUUGGUACCAUUAAGAGUGGUAAGCUUUAUUUACUGUGACUUUCAUAAUUAUUCCUUGCUCUUUUAACAAAUUUGUCGUCUUACUUUCUCAUUAUGUUUGGAAGGUAAUCAAUAUAUCUUGGAUUUAUUUGUUCAUCCGUUACUGUUUUGCACUUGUGAGCAUGUUUCCUUCCGUAUAGUUGUUGUCUGCUAUUUCUCGAGCUUCUUUGCUGUCUCGAGUAAUUAAAAUAGUUUUGAUUUGCUUGAAUAAUUUGAAUGACUUUGCCCCGAGAUUCAUCACCAGAUUAGAUUGUCUUUAUCUAAUCCAGUAAAUUUGUAAAUUUCAUUCGUCAUAUCUGUGCAUCAUGUAAUUGAUUGCACUGUUAAUAAAUAAUAGUUAUUUUAUUAUGAUCUGUACUUUAUUAAGUCUCUUUAAAAACUUAACUUACAUUUUACACGCAUACACAUGCUUGUACAAACGAACUUUUAUUUUUAAAUUUAUUUUAAAAAACAAUUAAUAAAGGAAUACAAGAAUAAAUUAGUAUAAUUUUACAGCCGUCGACCUGUCUUCGAUGUUCGCUUUCUCUUCGACUUCACUUGAAUAACUCCCACCGAGUCGUAUCUUCUGUCACAUCAACUCAGAGACGUAUUUUGUGGCGUGACACAUUUCACUUCCAACUACAGCUUAACCUACGCUACCGCUAGCUCUAGCUGUGGCUACCCGCCGUAGACGUUGGGAGUGUUUUGAGUCAGCGAAUCCCACAGUUUCUGCUUUUGGGAUUGGGUUACUAUGUUCUGCAUUGUCUGGUCGGAUGUUAGGCAGACAAUGCACACUGUGUAAUUUGACUGCCAGUGUUUUGGGUUAACUCCUCUCUUCCUAAGCGAGGAUCGUUCGCGAUCCUUUCAGUUACCUUUUUUACCAAGACAUCUAUUGCCCUUUUAGCAAGUGAGCAAAAGUAAACAAAUAGGUACCGCUGACGUUUCUGAUAUUUCCAAAGUGAUCCUCUAUUUCAGCCAUGACAUUAUUAAUAAUAGCAAUAUCAUCGUCAAUUUACUAUAAUUGGCGGAAGUUGAGCAGUUCGCUACAGUUCCCAUAAUGAGCUGUUUACCGCAAGUGGUAGUUUUUAGUGUUUUGCAAAAUGUAGCAAACGUAGAUUUUUCACAUUUCAGGGCGUACGCAUUAUUUCCGCAUUCAGCAACGGUAGUACUCGUCCUUGGUGCGACACGGCGAAUAAGUAAUUUUCUUACAAAAUAUCUUAGGUAUAGGAUAUUUUAUAACAAAAUACAAAUUGUCACUGUCACCUUAAUUUUAGACAUUUCUAAUACUUCUAUUAUAGUUAGGUUGUUCGUCGAUAAGUGUAUUUAAAUUAGUAUUGUCUAGUACUUAGUACAAGGCUAAUUAAAUUAGGUUAGGCUAAUGUUAUAGAAACAUUCCCUCUUUUUUCGGAAUUGGAGCCUCUCCAAUCGGUAUCCGUAUAGGGUGUCUAUUGUAUUUAUUUUUGUUGCAGAUUUCACAAUUCCUUACAAAUUGUUUAAAUUGUUUCUUCAUUAGUGGCCAGUAGUAAACUUUAGAAAAUUGUUUUAAAUUUUCUUUAUAACACCUGUACGCUCUUAUAUGUGUUUGUUUAAUUAUUUUUUCUUGAUCCUCUUCGUUAGUUAUAUAAUAUCAAUAGCUAUUAUAUCUGUAUGGAAAACUUUCUUUGCAAUUCUGUUUCGCAAAAUUCGUCUUCAAUUAUUUUUAAAUGUUCACUUAAUUCUUGUCUAUCAUCAUCAUCCAUUGUACCAAAUAAAAUAUUUAAACCUUUUCCUACAAUGUUUGCUAAUGCUCUUUUUUGUCUAAUUUUUAAAGGUUUGAUUGAAGUUAAUUUACUUCGUGCUAUAUUUAAUAUGAAUAAUAAAUUGUUUGUUGAUUUAUUAUUUUGAAAUGUGUUAUUAAAUUUCUCUAGUGCGGUAUUUAGUUUUGUUAUUAUAUUUUCAUAGUCUGCUAAAUCUAUAAUAUGAUAUACCUUAUUAAAAUCCUCUAUUACGUCCAAUUUUGCUUUCUUUAAAAUUGUAUAUCCUGUAUCGUAAUUAAGCUGUGUUAUUCUU